GAUGAACGCUGGCGGCGUGCCUAAUACAUGCAAGUCGAGCGAACGGACGAGAAGCUUGCUUCUCUGAUGUUAGCGGCGGACGGGUGAGUAACACGUGGAUAACCUACCUAUAAGGCUGGGAUAACUUCGGGAAACCGGAGCUAAUACCGGAUAAUAUUUUGAACCGCAUGGUUCAAAAGUGAAAGACGGUCUUGCUGUCACUUAUAGAUGGAUCCGCGCUGCAUUAGCUAGUUGGUAAGGUAACGGCUUACCAAGGCAACGAUGCAUAGCCGACCUGAGAGGGAGAUCGGCCACACUGGAACUGAGACACGGUCCAGACUCCUACGGGAGGCAGCAGUAGGGAAUCUUCCGCAAUGGGCGAAAGCCUGACGGAGCAACGCCGCGUGAGUGAUGAAGGUCUUCGGAUCGUAAAACUCUGUUAUUAGGGAAGAACAUAUGUGUAAGUAACUGUGCACAUCUUGACGGUACCUAAUCAGAAAGCCACGGCUAACUACGUG
rnacentral:rRNA from 1 species